AGCUGCCAUGGAAAAACCGAAUUAAUUCAGCUACUUCUCAAGCUGAAUGGAAACAAUCAAUAUAAUAGCUAUAAGAUUAGUUAUUUGUCCUGGGCAUUCAUCUCUUUGUUUAAGUGGAAAGGUACAUUUUACAGGUGCAAAUGACUUUACUGUGAUUUAUGAUUUUUUUAAAGCUUUUAUUGUUAUAUUUUUCUAUUAACUUGAUUUAAUCAAUGGGAUUAAAUCAUAAUGAAGAAUAAUAUGUAAAUUUCAAAUUUUAAAUUUAAGCUUCAGCCAACAAUAAUAAUCCAUAAGACAUAUAAUUAUAGUUCCAUGAAGUUUUAUGACGUGGGGACAUGGGAUGGGUUUUGGAGAUGGAGACCAAAGGUUUAAAUUUGGAGAUAGCGAGGGGACAGCAGCAGAGCAACAGUGGGGGUUGGUGCUUAUAUAUAAAUUGAGCAAGCGACACGAUGGAGUUGGCAGAGGUGGUGGUGUUGUGGAGGGAUGUUUCUCCAAGAUUCCAAGCUUUGGAAACAUUUUCAUAUAAGAGAUGUGGGUUUUUUUGGGGGCGGACUUGUCCCUGUGGAAUAGUGCGUAUAAUUUGCUUUAAAUACUCGUACAAAUAUGUUAGUGUUUUAGUGUAUUGUUUUUGCUUAAAAUAAAUUGGAAUUUUGAAAGGGUCCAGAUCCUUACACCAACUCAAUACAAAUUAAUGAUGGGACAAUUCAAUAUCCAACAAACGUUCAAUCCAAAGUCAAAGUAAUUUGAAAUCAAAUUAUUCCAAAAAUCUUUACUUAACC